ACCUGACUGGCUCAGUCAGUAGAGCAUCUGAUUCUUGGUCCCAGGGUCAUGAGUUCAAGCCCCAUGUUGGGCA
rnacentral:tRNA from 1 species